rnacentral:misc_RNA from 1 species
GACUUGGUAUUGUUGCUACCUUG